rnacentral:rRNA from 1 species
UGGGGAAUAUUGCACAAUGGGCGCAAGCCUGAUGCAGCCAUGCCGCGUGUAUGAAGAAGGCCUUCGGGUUGUAAAGUACUUUCAGCGGGGAGGAAGGUGUUGUGGUUAAUAACCUCAGCAAUUGACGUUACCCGCAGAAGAAGCACCGGCUAACUCCGUGCCAGCAGCCGCGGUAAUACGGAGGGUGCAAGCGUUAAUCGGAAUUACUGGGCGUAAAGCGCACGCAGGCGGUCUGUCAAGUCGGAUGUGAAAUCCCCGGGCUCAUCCUGGGAACUGCAUCCGAAACUGGCAGGCUUGAGUCUUGUAGAGGGGGGUAGAAUUCCAGGUGUAGCGGUGAAAUGCGUAGAGAUCUGGAGGAAUACCGGUGGCGAAGGCGGCCCCCUGGACAAAGACUGACGCUCAGGUGCGAAAGCGUGGGGAGCAAACA